GUCCAUUAAAAAAAUGCAGUUCGGUCGAGAAGAACCUACCUUGGAGAAGAGCCCCCGGGAAAAUGGAUAAAAAGAGAAUAGUCGAGAGAGAGCGGCAGCCUGCGUUCGCCAUGUUGGACACCUGCUUCUGUUAUGGUGUGUGUGACGCGGCCACCUGGAGGAAGGAUAAGACAGUCAUGAAGACGCAAGCGAAGAUGACUUUCACAUCCACUAGCCACCGCAAGCUUCCUUCUACCCCCUCCCCUCCUACCUCCACCAUCCCGGCGGGACUUAGCCAGAUUGAGUCAGGCGGUGGGUUAUCUUGGAUGUGCACAGCUUUGACAUAAUUGCCCCCCACAUGAGCUUGCUGUUGCCAU